UUAUUUGUCUUUUGAAAAAAAAUAAUAUAGGGAUUUUUUAUACAAGAAGGCAUAAAAAAAUGAUGUUAGCAUUGCUUAGUCGUUUGUAGUGGUAUGAACUUAGAAAGCAAAAAAAUGUUUAUCGAUGAAACUCUGCAUCCAGGGAAACACUUCACUGACUUCAUUCUUGGCCAAGUUAAUUCAGUUUUCAAUUCGAAAGAACUCCUAACCAUAUUGUUCUGCUGACAGAGAUUUCUGUUUCAAUUUUUCACUGUUUCUGCUUUAAACCGGUAGAGAAAAUUACACUACACACAGACUUUAGACAGACUUUAUGUGAAAAACCACUUUCCAACCAAGAUGUUAUGAUCAUUCUGGACAAAUUAUAUGUGAUUAGUUUCAAUUUUCCUUCAUAUUUGAUCAAGAUCAUAAAGGUCUUUAAUGCCAUCUGUACCAGUAGGCAUUGAAUAAAUUAACAAGGGGCAAAACAGACAUGUCGACAUGCAAAUGAUGCUAGAACUACAAAUAGUAGAGAAAUCGUGUCCUUAAUAUCAAGUGUAAACAUAGCAUGGAGACUAUCUACCACACCAACAAACACUUUUAUAACGACCUACAACGACGGAAUUACUUGAAGAUAAGUUUGCGUUAAUUACACAUUUAAAUUACAGUCCCAACCUCAGCAGAGGUGGGCACUAUUUUUCUGAGAUGUCUUACAUUCGGACGUUUCAUCAAACAGAACAUUACAUGACUGCGCGGGGAUACGAAUUUUAUCUAGUGCUACCGGUAUCUCUCACUCAUUCAGUGCAUUCUCGUUAGAGAUACCAUCAGCACUCGAUGAUAAAAUUCGUAUCCCCUGCGCGGUCAUGUAAUAUCCUUUAUGGGUCAGCCAUUAAUAGUGCCACUGAUGGUGUAAUAUCAGUAAACUUACUGGCAACAAAUGACCUCUUAAGUUAGCUUUAGCAUCGAUGAGCCUGAAGCAUAAUUCACGUCUCUUCACCGAACUUUUUAGAACCUUCUAGAACGUUCUUGGAAAGAAUAAAGGAACAGGUGACGUUCGCGCAUUGUCACUUUCAUAUUUGUUUAGUUGAUGUCAUACUGUAAUCAAACAAUCGUUUGCCUGAACGGCACUGUAAUUGCAACCCGAACUACUCUCAAAUAUACAUUGGCAUUUCAGUUGGAUUGCUGAAGUAAAGUUCAGUGUGAAAGUUCUUGGUCUAUCCAAAUGUCAGUCGCCGCAGAUGUUAUCUAUCCAGAAAUCAGUGAUGGAAGCCACUGAAGCGAGCCAUGCAAUUUUUUCUGUUCACAGUUUCUCGCCUAAGACACCUGAUAUUGCAAGAAAUGGAUUAAUAUUAUGAGGCCCUCUUAGCGGAAUUCCUCUCAUUGGCCGCCUAUCGAAAAGGAGUUGGUUUAAUAUCCCGAACUGGAACACGCGGAUACUACCACGGGGAGACGCCAGUGUCGACCGGUGGGAGCCCCCGAAAGAGUACGCUUUCUUUCACUCUGACAUCAGAUUGUCUGUGGUUGUGAACAGAGUAUUCUCCUUAUUCCAGAUCUCGAAAAUUACAUUGAAACGUUCAAUCAGGAAAAGUAUCAGAUAAUUUCACCGAUGUUACAUUUAAUCUGGAAGGAAGUCAUACUCUGAAAAAACUGCUGAUAAUGCAUUAUGAUACUUUCACUGGCUUUGAGAUAAAUAAGAGUGAAUGGGUCACUUUCUCCCCUUCCACAGUCUCACUGGCUACGAGAAAGACUUCACACAUGUCAAGGAUAGACAGACUAAAGAAAAUAAGGCCCGGCCACACUAAUGCGUUUUCAAAAGUACAUGUAUCCGUUUUCGUCUCAACGAAAACGAAGCAAAUAUUUUUUUACCACACUAGCGUUUUCGUUUCGUUUUCACCUGUCUACAACAAUUCGUUUUCAUUCGAAGACGCAUACUUUUUGAUACGUUGAACGCUGCUGGAAACGACAGUAUAUGACACUAUUUUCGGUACCGUUUUAAAAAGCCUCCGUUUUCGCCUAUCCACACUAGAAACGGAGCGUUUUCAAAAAGCUCCACUUUUGAAACCGUUUUCGAAAACCUCCGAUUUCAUCAGCGUUUUCGGUCGUUUUAGGGCGGACGACAGGCAAAAACGGAUCAAAAGGUAUUUCAUACGAAAACGCAUCAGUCUGGUCAGAACUUGAGAAUUCACAUAUAACGAGCUCUCAACUACAUACCAUCAAGGUUGAACUGCGAGAGAGAAGAGUCCAGACAGAAACAUGGCGAGAAAAAGUACAAUAACAAUUAAAUAGAACAAACACUUGACAUGGACAGAAUGAUGGGGCCAUUACUAUUAGACGGUUAAAUUUUUCUUAUUCACAUGAUUAUAAAAUUCAACAAUGAUGAAUGCAAGGCAAUUUCGGGCAGAAACUGGUUUCUGUCAAAAAUUGCUCAAAUAAUGUAAAUAAUUAUUUCUAGUGGCAUACAUCCAUCAAACUAGUUUGGUCUUGCCAUAAGUAUGUGUGGUUAACAGAACCGUAUCAAAAAGAUACCAUUAUAAUUAUUGUAUGUUAGGUAUAAAAAAAUGUUUCUUGAAUGGAAAGAAACUGCAUUCUGCACAGUUAAAUCUUUCAGUAGUUUUCGUACCAUGUCAAAGAUGAUCUGCCCUCUUUCUUCUGUGGAACCUCGUAGACACAGAGCAAGUCCACCUAGAGAUGAAAGUAUGCCUUUUCAUUUACAAACACACUGAAGUUUAAACAUUCCGUAGCUAAGCAAUCUUUUAAUGCUUAAAUUGGUCUUGUGAUUUUACAAGCCUGCUACAUUGUAAUUUAACCAGUGUAAAAGUAAGAAAUUUGUCAAAUUAUUUAAUCCCAUGUCACAUUCCAUUUUCACCAACCGGGAUCUAACAGAAGCUGUCUUCUGUAAGCAGUCAAGUGCAAAACCAAAACAAAUUGUGCUGCUUUUAAAGAACUGCAUGUACAUGCAUUAAAUGAACUCUUUUCAGAAAUUAUUAAGCUUAUCAAAUAUUUAUGACAUUAAUGUCAGUGGAAGUAAGACUACCUCAAACCCCAUGAUAACAGAUGUAUACUUGAAUGAAAUACUUGUCUAGGGAUGUAACUGGUGUGUGAACUAGAAUCACACAGUCAAGCUUUCACGUUUUUCCAAAUCCUCAUCCUAUAGAUGAUUAUAAGUUAUGCACAUGUGAACUGUAUUCACAAUUCUGACUCUGAUUCUGGAUUUACCAGAAUCCCUAAUACAGACCUAGGAACUCAUCACAGUCAAUAUGACCAUUCCUGUCUUUGUCAAAAGCUGUAAACAAUCUCUCAGCCAGAACUCCAUCCAAGGGAAAAUAAUGCAUGCUACAGA